rnacentral:piRNA from 1 species
UGGUGCUGUAUCCGCGUUGUUUUCACAGU